AUGUCAUAUAGGGCCUUUACAAUCUUUGCAAAGAGGGAUUUUUUACUUGUACUCGCUUAUAAGACAAUCUCUGCUUCUCUUUUGAGGAAAUUUCUCGAGAUAGAAUCGUGGAAAACAGGCGCGGAGACGUUUUACCACCACAAGUCACAUACCUGCCUGGAUGUCAGAAUGCAGGACGAUGCCUUGGCCUUUGAGGGAAGCGGCGUCGAAGCGUCCAGCUGCAGCGAAAAGUCAAGCUGCAGCAGCUGGCGGAUGUGCUGGACCAGGCCCAGGUCCAGCAGCAGCUUCUUCCUCUGGAUCAGCGCCUUGACCCG